CGCGCAGGCGGUCGUUCAAGUCGAGUGUGAAAGCCCCCGGCUCAACUGGGGAGGGUCACUCGAUACUGAUCGACUCGAAGGCAGAAGAGGGAAGCGGAAUUCCCGGUGUAGUGGUGAAAUGCGUAGAUAUCGGGAGGAACACCAGUGGCGAAGGCGGCUUUCUGGUCUGCUCUUGACGCUGAGGCGCGAAAGCUAGGGUAGCAAACG
rnacentral:rRNA from 1 species